GGUGCAGAAAGCGGCGGACGGGUGAGUAAUGCUUGGGAAUCUACCUAGUAGUGGGGGACAACAGUUGGAAACGACUGCUAAUACCGCAUACGACCUACGGGUGAAAGAGGGGGAUCUUCGGACCUCUUGCUAUUAGAUGAGCCCAAGUCGGAUUAGCUAGUUGGUAGGGUAAAGGCCUACCAAGGCGACGAUCCUUAGCUGGUCUGAGAGGACGAUCAGCCACACUGGAACUGAGACACGGUCCAGACUCC
rnacentral:rRNA from 1 species